AUUGAACGCUGGCGGCAUGCCUUACACAUGCAAGUCGAACGGCAGCACGGGUGCUUGCACCUGGUGGCGAGUGGCGAACGGGUGAGUAAUACAUCGGAACGUACCUUAUCGUGGGGGAUAACGCAGCGAAAGCUGUGCUAAUACCGCAUACGCCCUGAGGGGGAAAGCGGGGGAUCGAAAGACCUCGCGCGAUUAGAGCGGCCGAUGCCUGAUUAGCUUGUUGGUGGGGUAAAAGCCCACCAAGGCGACGAUCAGUAGCUGGUCUGAGAGGACGAUCAGCCACACUGGGACUGAGACACGGCCCAGACUCCUACGGGAGGCAGCAGUGGCGAAUUUUGGACAAUGGGGGCAACCCUGAUCCAGCAAUGCCGCGUGAGUGAAGAAGGCCUUCGGGUUGUAAGGCUCUUUUGUCAGGGAAGAAACACCGGCUCUAACACAGUCCGGGAAUGACGGUACCUGAAGAAUAAGCACCGGCUAACUACGUGCCAGCCGCCGCUGUAA
rnacentral:rRNA from 1 species